GUUUUUAUUAAUUUAUAAAACAUUACAAAGGGCCAAAAAGUAAUCAUAACAACAGAAGCCCAAGCCCGGACGCAAACUAUAGAGAAGUACCGCAAAUACAUAAAACCCAUAGACUUGAAAAGCACGCUAGAGCCUGGAUCCAAAACAUAGCCAACAACAACGAAGCUUCAACUUCGCAAGUAUGACUCGGCUUUCUCCAACUUCGAACGGUGGGAGCCCUUGUCACCGUCUGUGGCAAAGUGCCGCCGCUACACAACUUUAGUUGACCGUCGUCGAACCGAAAGAACAAGAAACAGGAUGACCUCAUGCCAAUAGAUUGCUUUCCAACCGAAGCCCAAACGAGAUCCCUUACAUUGUAUUUGAAUUGAGUGCAUCGUAAUUUAAUAAUGUAUCAUAUUAUACUAUAUUGUAUUAUGUUUUAUGAAUUUUAUUAUUAAUGUAUUUGAAAAAAUAACAUGGUAUAAAAUAAUUUAAUAAUAUCUUUUUAUUUAAUUAGAUAAUAUAAUAUAACAUAAUAAAUAUAAAGAUUAUUAAAAU
rnacentral:misc_RNA from 1 species